CCUACGGGCGGCAGCAGUGAGGAAUAUUGGUCAAUGGGCGCAAGCCUGAACCAGCCAUGCCGCGUGCAGGAUGACGGCCCUACGAGUUGUAAACUGCUUUUGUACGGGGGUAAACUCCGACACGUGUACCUGGUUGAAAGUACUGUAUGAAUAAGGAUCGGCUAACUCCGUGCCAGCAGCCGCGGUAAUACGGAGGAUCCGAGCGUUAUCCGGAUUUAUUGGGUUUAAAGGGUGCGUAGGCGGGUUGAUAAGUUAGAGGUGAAAGGUUGGGGCUCAACCGCGAAACUGCCCCUGAUACUGGUAGACUAGAGAAUAGUUGCGGUAGGCGGAAUUCGUGGUGUAGCGGUGAAAUGCUUAGAUAUCACGAAGAACUCCGAUUGCGAAGGCAGCCUACUAAACUGCCACUGACAUUGAUGCUCGAAAGUGUGGGUAUCAAACAGGAUUAGAUACCCGGGUAGUC
rnacentral:rRNA from 1 species